CGAAGCCAAAGCGAAAGCGAGUCCGAAAAGGGCGUGUAUUGUCACGAUUUGUAGACCCGAACCCGGGUGAUCUAACCAUGUCCAGGAUGAAGCUUGGGUAACACCAAGUGGAGGUCCGAACCGACCGAUGUUGAAAAAUCGGCGGAUGAGGUGUGGUUAGGGGUGAAAUGCCAAUCGAACCCGGAGCUAGCUGGUUCUCCCCGAAAUGUGUUGAGGCGCAGCGGUGAUGGUUUAAAUCUGGGGGUAAAGC
rnacentral:rRNA from 1 species